UCUUCAGCUCCUGGGGCAAGUGGAGUACGUUGGCAGAGAUUUACAAAGUACUCGCCCUGUCUCAGUAGCAGAGGG
ensembl:miRNA